ACGAACGCUGGCGGCAGGCUUAACACAUGCAAGUCGAACGGAUCCUUCGGGAUUAGUGGCAGACGGGUGAGUAACGCGUGGGAACGUACCCUUUGCUACGGAAUAACUCAGGGAAACUUGAGCUAAUACCGUAUGUGCCCUACGGGGGAAAGAUUUAUCGGCAAAGGAUCAGCCCGCGUUGGAUUAGCUAGUUGGUGGGGUAAUGGCCUACCAAGGCGACGAUCCAUAGCUGGUCUGAGAGGAUGAUCAGCCACACUGGGACUGAGACACGGCCCAGACUCCUACGGGAGGCAGCAGUGGGGAAUAUUGGACAAUGGGCGCAAGCCUGAUCCAGCCAUGCCGCGUGAGUGAUGAAGGUCUUAGGAUUGUAAAGCUCUUUCACCGGUGAAGAUAAUGACGGUAGCCGGAGAAGAAGCCCCGGCUAACUUCGUG
rnacentral:rRNA from 1 species